rnacentral:rRNA from 1 species
UACGGGGGGGGCAAGCGUUGUUCGGAAUUACUGGGCGUAAAGGGCUCGUAGGUGGCCAACUAAGUCAGGGGUGAAAUCCCGGAGCUCAACUCCGGAACUGCCUUUGAUACUGGGUGUCUUGAGUGUGGAAGAGGUGAGUGGAAUUCCGAGUGUAGAGGUGAAAUUCGUAGAUAUUCGGAGGAACACCAGUGGCGAAGGCGGCUCACUGGUCCAUUACUGACGCUGAGGUGCGAAAGCGUGGGGAGCAAACAGG